CAAAUAUAUAUUUCGAGACUAAGUCGAGUGAAUACUAAGGAAAUAAAAAUAUACGCCGGUGCAGUGUGGUCAUCCUACAGUCGAAUAUUCUUUUUUUUUCUAAUGUCUUUUUACUAAGCUUGCAUUAGUACGUGUACCAGGUCCAGGUGUGCACCUGGGUAUGUUACUAAGCUAAUUUAUCCUCCACGUGCCCUCUCCCUUUCUCUAAACUAAACCUAUCUCUCUCUUCCCUGUACUAGUUCUGUACUAGUAGUUAUCAACCGAACAGAGCACCCACUAGUACUAUUAGUCCAGGAAGAACACAAGUAAUAGUACAGACUGAUGCUCCUCUGCUCCUUCCCCAGAUCGGCGCCGCCGCCAGCGACGGGAAAGAUGCCGCUGCUAGAUCCUCCACACUCUCUCUCCCCUGAUGUGAUUCCCCAUAUUAUCCCCAUGAAUUUCAGCCUCAACUCUCUAAUCCCCCUCUGUGUGUGUGUGUGUUCUUUUUGGCUUGCAGGUCAAACCCUAUUGGGGAUGUGAUUUCCCUGCUCCGGAUUGAAGUGGUCGGUGUUGGGCGUCGCCGUAAUGCUGGAUGGUGCAGGUUAGAGCUCCAGUGCGUGGCCAUGGAGCAGAUCGAACAUAUGUGCAGGGGAAUGCUAGUGUUGCUGGGAAGAAGAGGGCUUGGUCUGGCUAUUUUGGGUAGAGCUGAGACGAGUGAAACUUGGCAGUUGCUUACUCUGCUCUCCUUGCCAUCUAAUAUCUGAUAUCCACCUCCCUUGGCUGGUAUGGCUGCCCAUCCUCUUCUCCAUUGUUCUCACAGGUGCUAGCUUCUAAUUGGCUGAAGGUUGAAGCCCAUACAUAGACUAUACUGUUGACCAAUUGACUAUUAAUAUGGUGCACGUGAGGGUGGUGGUCCAUGUGUCUUGCUGUACUGGUUGACCCAGAGAUAUUUUGUGUUGGUCCAACUGUAUAGCUUAGCAUAGCAUGGUCUCCCUAAAUUUUUUUCCAAAGAUUUGUAAUACACUUUUACAGCUAUACUGUCUGAGGUUUAUGAAUAUAAAUAUAUAUAAUUGAGUGGUUA